rnacentral:rRNA from 1 species
GAUGGCCUACCAAGGCGACGACGGGUAGCCGGCCUGAGAGGGCGACCGGCCACACUGGGACUGAGACACGGCCCAGACUCCUACGGGAGGCAGCAGUGGGGAAUAUUGCACAAUGGGCGAAAGCCUGAUGCAGCGACGCCGCGUGAGGGAUGAAGGCCUUCGGGUUGUAAACCUCUUUCGGCAGGGACGAAGCGUGAGUGACGGUACCUGCAGAAGAAGCGCCGGCUAACUACGUGCCAGCAGCCGCGGUAAUA